GCUCUCCGGCUUAACUGGGAGAGCCGGGUCAAUACUUCGGGGCUUGAGGACAGCACAGGGGGUGCAAUUUCCGGUGUACUGGUGAAACGCGUAGAUAUCGGAAGGAACACCAGUGGCGAAGGCGGCCCCCUGGGCUGCUCCUGACGCUGAAGGCGAAAGCUAGGGUAGCGAACGGGAUUAGAAACCCCGGUAGUCCUAGCAGUACACGAUGGAUACUAGGUGUAGGAGGUUUACACUCCUUCUGUGCCGGAGCUUACGCGUUAAGUAUCCCACCUGGGGAGUACGGUCGCAAGGCUAAUACUCAAAGGAAUUGACGGGGGCCCGCACAAGCAGCGGAGCGUCUGGUAUAAUUCGAUGCAACGCGUAGAACCUUACCAGGGCUUGACAUGUAGGUAGUAGUGAAGCGAAAGCGGCACGAUCCUUCGGGAAGCCUACACAGGUGCUGCAUGGCUGUCGUCAGCUCGUACCGUGAGGUGUUAGGUUAAGUCCUGUAACGAGCGCAACCCCUGCCGUUAGUUACAAGUGUCUAACGGACUUGCCCGGCAAAACUGGGAGGAAGGUGGGGACGACGUCAAGUCAGCAUGGCCUUUAUGUCCUGGGCUACACACACGUUACAAUGGUCGGUACAAUGGGUUACCAAGUCGCGAGGCGGAGCCAAUCCUUCAAAGCCGGUCUCAGUUCGAAUUGUAGGCUGCAACCCGCCUGCAUGAAGUUGGAGUUGCUAGUAACCGCAGGUCAGCCACACUCCGGUGACACGUUCCCGGGCAUGUACACACCGCC
rnacentral:rRNA from 1 species